UCCUGGCUUAGGAUGAACGCUGGCGGCGUGCCUAACACAUGCAAGUCGAGCGAUUCUCUUCGGAGAAGAGCGGCGGACGGGUGAGUAACGCGUGGGUAACCUGCCUCAUACACAUGGAUAACAUACCGAAAGGUAUGCUAAUACAAGAUAAUAUAAGAAAUUCACAUGGAUUUCUUAUCAAAGCUCCGGCGGUAUGAGAUGGACCCGCGUCUGAUUAGCUAGUUGGUAAGGUAACGGCUUACCAAGGCGACGAUCAGUAGCCGACCUGAGAGGGUGAUCGGCCACAUUGGAACUGAGACACGGUCCAAACUCCUACGGGAGGCAGCAGUGGGGAAUAUUGCACAAUGGGCGAAAGCCUGAUGCAAGCAACGCCGCGUGAGUGAUGAAGGCCUUCGGGUCGUAAAACUCUGUCCUCAAGGAAGAUAAUGACGGUACUUGAGGAGGAAGCCCCGGCUAACUACGUGCCAGCAGCAGC
rnacentral:rRNA from 1 species